rnacentral:misc_RNA from 1 species
AGUGGAGAAAGAUAAUCCAUAUAAUCGGUCCCAAUAAAUUUUUAGAAUAAAAACUUAGUUGAGUUAAGAAUUAAAAUACUAAAUAUUAUCUUAAAAACUAUUGUAGAAUAAAACCUAUAGCAUUAAAUAAACCUUCCACAAUUGUGCUACAUUGCAAUGCCAAGAGCAUAAAUAAAUAACUACUCUCCUCUUUUUUGAGCUUCUUAUAAGUUGAUUUAUGUAUUUUCAUUAAUAAUUGCAAAUUUGUAAUGUAUUUAUUUAGAUAAUUGGAAUUGCAUGCUUACUUACGUACCAUGAAAAUUAGAAGCAAAGAAAAAUAUUAUCCAUCGAUUUUUUUUUUCUAUCGAUUGGAGUUAACGAUUCAGAAAAAAUCAAUUGGACUUAAAGUUUUGACACGUGUAUUGUUAUUUGUACUCCUAUCAAUUAUAAAAGUAAAAAUAUUCUAAAAAAAAGAAAAAAACUUCUAAAUAAAUAAAUAAAUUCAAUUAAAAUCACAUCACAAGCACAAGAUAAACAAAAGCAAAUGCAUAUAUUGAGUUAGAUUACAAAGAGAGAGAGAGAGAGA